AACCUAGCACACCUGCGGUGUGUACCUGCGGAGGGAUCAUUAACAAGCUGUGGGAGAUCGAUCAAUUUGAUCUCACACCUGGCCAACCUUGUUAACCUUAAAUAUAUUGCUUUGGUGAGCCCUGCUCACCAAAGUCAAACCCUAAACUCUUGAUUGUUUCUGCUGUCUGAGCAUGCAAGUGCAAAAUUUAGUUAAAAACUUUUAACAAUGGAUCU
rnacentral:misc_RNA from 1 species